AUCCAGCUGACGAGUCCCAAAUAGGAUGAGAUGAGCAUCCUGGAU
rnacentral:hammerhead_ribozyme from 1 species